rnacentral:rRNA from 1 species
UACGUAGGGUGCGAGCGUUAAUCGGAAUUACUGGGCGUAAAGCGUGCGCAGGCGGUUCGUCGUGUCCGAUGUGAAAGCCCCGGGCUCAACCUGGGAAUGGCAUUGGAAACUGGCGGGCUUGAGUGUGGCAGAGGGGGGUGGAAUUCCGCGUGUAGCAGUGAAAUGCGUAGAGAUGUGGAGGAACACGAUGGCGAAGGCAGCCCCCCUGGGCUGACACUGACGCUCAUGCACGAAAGCGUGGGGGAGCAAACAGG